rnacentral:rRNA from 1 species
GACGAACGCUGGCGGCGUGCUUAACACAUGCAAGUCGAACGGAAAGGCCCUGCUUUUGUGGGGUGCUCGAGUGGCGAACGGGUGAGUAACACGUGAGUAACCUGCCCUUGACUUUGGGAUAACUUCAGGAAACUGGGGCUAAUACCGGAUAGGAGCUCCUGCUGCAUGGUGGGGGUUGGAAAGUUUCGGCGGUUGGGGAUGGACGCGCGGCUUAUCAGCUUGUUGGUGGGGUAGUGGCUUACCAAGGCUUUGACGGGUAGCCGGCCUGAGAGGGUGACCGGCCACAUUGGGACUGCGAUACGGACCAGACUCCUACGGGAGGCAGCAGUGGGGAAUAUUGCACAAUGGGCGGAAGCCUGAUGCAGCAACGCCGCGUGCGGGAUGACGGCCUUCGGGUUGUAAACCGCUUUCGCCUGUGACGAAGCGUGAGUGACGGUAAUGGGUAAAGAAGCACCGGCUAACUACGUG